AGGCCCCCCCCCCCCCACACGCCCGCUGCCUGCGGACCCCGUGGUGCCAGGCACUCAGCCCCCAGGUCCGGCCAAGCCCCCCCCCGCCUCAGCGGCCGCUGCCCUUGGACCCCCCGGGGCCUUCGCUUCCCCACAGCGAGACCCCUGGUCACCCCUAUGUCACGGUGAUUCCCUCCAGGUGAGCAUGGUGGCAGCUGGGGGGGGCAGGACCGGGCUGUGGGGUGCCAGGUUGGGG
rnacentral:lncRNA from 1 species